AAAGGUGAUAGAGCAAAGUAACCAGGUACUUUACAUGCAGUGGCAAUGGUCAUACAGGGUUUUGUUAUGGCCAAAAUACUUUUAAUUCAUUAACGACGGCUCACUGUGGACAUUAAAGCACUCCUCAGUCAUGAAUUUUUUUGUAUCUACAGAAAUUCUGAUAAUUUACAAUUCAAAAGGAACACAGACUGCCUUCUUCCAAGUAAUCAAGUGGCAUAAAGUACACAAACACCAACAACAGAGAAAGAGGACAUUAGUGGUAUGGGCCACAACCAAAAAAGAGCUGUGACACAGAGGCAGCCCAAGCUCUUACAGGAUGGGAAGACCUGGGAAGGUGACAAGUCUUCCUCUAAAGGCAGCUGCUCUCCAACUUUGGGAGUGAGGUGCAUCGAGCAGCCGCACAGG